GCCAGGGUGCUGGAAUUGGCAGACAGGCACGGCUUAGGACCGUGUGCUCUUACCGAGCGUGCAGGUUCAAGUCCUGUCCCUGGCA
rnacentral:tRNA from 3 species